rnacentral:rRNA from 1 species
GAGCACGUAGGUGGGUUUGUAAGUCAGAUGUGAAAGCCUUCUGUUCAACGGAAGAAUUGCAUCUGAAACUGCGAGUCUUGAGUGUAGGAGGGGAGAAUGGAACUUCUGGUGGAGCGGUGAAAUGCGUAGAUAUCAGAAGGAACGCCGGCGGCGAAAGCGAUUCUCUGGCCUAUUACUGACACUCAGUGCGCGAAAGCUAGGGGAGCAAACGGGAUUAGAUACCCCGGUAGUCCUAGCCGUAAACGAUGGGCACUAAGUAGAGGGAAUUACCGAUAUUCUCUCUGCCGUAGCUAACGCAUUAAGUGCCCCGCCUGGGGAGUACGGCCGCAAGGCUAAAACUCAAAAGAAUUGACGGGGGCUCGCACAAGCGGUGGAGCAUGUGGCUUAAUUCGAUGCAACGCGAAAAACCUUACCGGGGCUUGACAUGGUAGAAGUAGGAACCCGAAAGGGUAACGAACGGUAUCCAGUCCGUAGCUAUUACAGGUGUUGCAUGGCUGUCGUCAGCUCGUGUCGUGAGACGUUGGGUUAAGUCCCCUAACGAGCGAAACCCUUGUUUUUAGUUGCCAGCGGGUUGUGCCGGGCACUCUAGAAAGACUGCCGUCGUCAAGACGGAGGAAGGUGGGGACGACGUCAAGUCAUCAUGGCCCUUAUGCCCCGGGCUGCACACGUGCUACAAUGGUCGGUACAAACGGAAGCGAAGCCGAGAGGUGAAGCGAAUCC